rnacentral:rRNA from 1 species
UGCGUAGGGACCGAGCGUUGUCCGGAAUCAUUGGGCGUAAAGAGCGUGUAGGCGGCCACUUAAGUCCUGCGUGAAAUCUUGCGGCUCAACCGCAAGCGGUCGUGGGAAACUGGGUGGCUAGAGUGCGGGAGAGGAGAGUGGAAUUCCCAGUGUAGAGGUGAAAUUCGUAGAUAUUGGGAAGAACACCGGUGGCGAAGGCGGCUCUCUGGACCGAUACGUGACGCUGAGGAGCGAAAGCGUGGGGAGCGAACAGG